rnacentral:lncRNA from 1 species
GAGCAACUUGGGACAAGGUGACCAUGGUGGCUGUGCAGCCUUCUUGGCCUGCAGAAAUCAGCAGCUCGUGAUGGCCGUCUUGUGUGAAGGGAGGCUGUGUGUGGAGAAAGUUCAACCCCAAAGGAAGAGCUCCGAAGAGCAUGCAGGUUCCACGCUGUAUCCCCCUUGACUUAGGACACCUGUGAAGGCUGGAAUGUGCAUGGUAUCAACACCAGGAGCCUUUAGGAAUGUUGGAUCCUUCAUUUGCAUGCCUUCCUCCCAGACCCUUUGCCAGCCAGCUCUGUGCUUUGGAUGUUAGAAGCUGCCUCAAGGAAUCCACCCUUCAGAUCCCCUGGUCCUCCUGUCGAGCACCCAUCCCUCUCUUUGGAGUCCUGUGAAGUUAGAGAUGUGUGGCCUGCUGAACAGAGCUUCACAGUAACCCACAUAUAGAUGUCUGCCAGGUGAAGGUGUGAAUGAGUGGCUUGCGGACAGACAGCGGUGAGCCCUGGAUGCAGAGUUGUUUGUGGAGAGCCGUUUGAAGCUUUUGCUAGAGACUUCAUUGUGCAGCACUUGCUGAGCUCAGCCCCGUGGCUCCUUGGCACUCCAGGCUCCAACAGGGCCAACUUCUUCACCAUCUCCAGAGAGGAAGUUUCCCUGCUUCUCGGGGCUUGGCAGAUCACUCUAAGGCACUCUUUUCCCCAACCCCCAGCCAUGGGAUGCCAGGCAUUACAGUAGCCUUCUCUCCUGAUGAAUGCCAACAAUAUCCUUUUAGCAGAGCCAGAGCCCCUGGGUCCGGCCUGCCCGAGACCCUAGCGGCUGCAUUCUCUGAUUGUCCGCUGUGCUGGAAGCAAAGGCCCAUUAGGCUUAGCCUCUGCCAUGUGGAAAUAACCCACUGAGAGGCAAGGAGCACAGUGGUGGGAUGUCUUAGCCAAGUGCUGAUUUCUUGCCGUUCCUCGGGAGAAGCAUGGCCUCUCAGCUCUGUCCUGGCAGCUGGAGGCCUGUCACAUGCCUCUUGCCCAAGCUGUGGUUGUUAAGAUGCUGGGCACAGUAGGAGAGACCCAGGCUUGACUAUGAAGAGCUGGGAACUUGAGCAUUCUCAUCAACAGGCAGCACCACCCUGAUGCCUUGGCUUUACAUGGGGGUCCUCAAACCUGCAUCCAGCUUUGUUCAGUCACCACAGGACCAAGCCAGAUGCUGGUUAUAGUGCUAAGAUGAAGGGCUGUUGCAGUUAGGAGGUCAAACUGUGGUUGGAGAAAGGAUUAGAUCAGAUGACAAAUGAGGAGUAGACAUGGGGUCAAGGGCAUGAUUAGGGACCAGGUAAGAUUAAAUAGGUAUGGAGACACUGGAGUUGUACCUUAGCAGUAGAACACAUUUUCACUAUGCAGAAG